UACAGAGGUCUCAAGCGUUGUUCGGAUUCAUUGGGCGUAAAGGGUGCGUAGGCGGCGCGGUAAGUCGGGUGUGAAAUCUCGGAGCUUAACUCCGAAACUGCAUUCGAUACUGCCGUGCUUGAGGACUGGAGAGGAGACUGGAAUUUACGGUGAAGCGGUGAAAUGCGUAGAGAUCGUAAGGAAGACCAGUGGCGAAGGCGGGUCUCUGGAAAGUUCCUGACACUGAGGCACGAAGGCCAGGGGAGCAAACGGG
rnacentral:rRNA from 1 species